rnacentral:lncRNA from 1 species
AAAAAAAUUCUAGACAUUUUUUCUUUAUCUUAUAUUUUAUAUUUUUCACUCUAUCCUUAUCUAUUUGAAGAAUGAAGUACGUCAUAGGACUCUUGAUGAUAAAGUCUAUCUUUUUGUCCGAUUAGUUUGUCUAAUAGAGUAGUUCAUUUUUUGUUCUUUUUAAAGUUCUUUAUUUUUUUUUGUAAUGCAUGUUUGAGGUUGGGGGUUGCAUGUGUCAUCUUAAAGCUCUAGAUAAAUCUUUAUUUAAUUAUGAUUGUCAUGAUAUAAUCAUAUCAUAUAAAUUUUUUGUGUGCAAAUAUUGUCUUCUUUGGUUAGGAGUGCUUA